UUCUGUGGCACUUCCGCAACCUUAUCCGUGACAUCUCCCUGUGUUCGUGGAAGAGAGAUAAACUUCGGGGCUCUGGCACAGGCUCUGCGGCAGAACCUGGCACUUCGGAACUGAGCGGAAGGUUACAUCUUCUGGCGAAACGAAAAAGCUCCUCGCUCAACUGAAGCUCCUUCUUCCUCUAAGAUGGCUACAAUCAAGAUAUGCUAGCAAGCCAUAAAACUGAACAAAAGCUGACAAACCUUACUACACCAUUCCUAUAUGGCCCAGGCACAUUAAGACUGUCUACAUUCAAGUUGAUUUCUAAAGUAUUUAU